GUCUUGUUUUGAUUUGUUAGUAUUAUUAAUAUAAUUUUUUAUUGAAGAAUCAUUUUAGUUAUUGUAAAUUUUUGAUUUAAUUUUUUUAACGAUAGUUUAUUUGUACUGUGAGGGGUUUAUUUUUUAUUGUUUUUUUGGAAGUAGAUUUUGUUUUUCGUACCUUGUGUAUCAGGGUUCAUUGAAUUUUAUUAUUUAUUUUUAUUUCCCGAUUUAUAAGGAGUUAAUAAUUUGUUUUAUUUACUGUUUCAUUAGUAUUAAUAACAUAUUGUUGGUAGUGAAAUGUUAUUCGUCUUUUAUGGUUUCUGGUUUCUUGAGAAAUGAAUUUAAUUCAUGUGUUUUAUUUAAUUUCUGUAUUUGUUUACAUUUAGUGUUUUAUUUUAUACUAAGAUUAAGGGGGAUUAGCUCCUUGUUUUAUUAUUAUAAUUUAUUUAAUUAAUUUAGUUUUGUGGAUUUUAUAUUGAUUUUCAAUUUGAUUAUGUUAAAAUUUUAUUUGUUCUUUUUUUUAUUUUGUUUUAUUUAAUUUAUUUAUUGGGAUGUUUACUUUUGUUUUUAUUGUAUAAUAAUUAUUGUGUAAUUAGUAAAUUUUUCUUUUUGUGUUGUUUAUUUAUUUUAGUGUUAAUUUCUUUUGAGGAAUUCGGCAAAGUUUUAUGCCCGCCUGUUUAACAAAAACAUCUCUUCUUGUUAGUUUUUGAAGUAUGGCCUGCCCACUGACUUAUUUGUUGAAGGGCCGCGGUAUUUUGACCGUGCAAAGGUAGCAUAAUCAUUAGUUCUUUAAUUGUGAUCUGGUAUGAAUGGCUUGACGAGGUAUAAUCUGUCUUAAUUGUAUUUUUGAUUGAAUUUAGUUUUUGAGUUAAAAUUCUUAGAUGUUUUUAUGGGACGAGAAGACCCUAUAGAGUUUUACAUUUAUUUCUUCAUUACUUUUAUUUGUUUGUUUUUAUUGUAAAGUGGGUUGAAUGUUUUGUUGGGGUGAUGGGAGGAAUUUUUUUAACUCCUCUUUGUUUUUAUACACUUAUUUGUGUUUUUUUGAUCCAUUUGUUUUGAUUAUAAGAUUAAAUUACCUUAGGGAUAACAGCGUUAUCUUCCCUGAGAGUUCUUAUUGGCGGGAAGGUUUGCGACCUCGAUGUUGGAUUAAGAUUAAUUUUCGGUGCAGAAGCUGGAAUUGAUUAGGUCUGUUCGACCUUUAAAAUCUUACAUGAUCUGAGUUCAGACCGGCGUGAGCCAGGUUGGUUUCUAUCUAUAAAUUUUUGUUAUAUCUUAGUACGAGAGGACCGGAUAUUUGGAAUAAUUUUAUUUUUGUUGGAUAUUGUUAAUUUGUUACUAUUUUGGCAGAUAAGUGCAUUGGAUUUAGAAUCUAUGAA
rnacentral:rRNA from 1 species